rnacentral:rRNA from 1 species
ACGCUCGACACCUACAGGAGGCAGCAGUUGGGAAUAUUGGACAAUGGAGGAAACUCUGAUCCAGUGACGCCGCGUGAAGGAAGAAGGUCUUCGGAUUGUAAACUUAUUUUGUCAGGGAAGAAAAAUGACUGUACCUGAAGAAAAAGCACCGGCUAACUACGUGCCGGCAGCCGCGGUAAUCUGAGCGGGCUGGCAAGGC